rnacentral:lncRNA from 1 species
ACAUUUGACGUGCAUGUGGCUGGUUGUGGUUGUUCCACUGGCCAGGGAGCACUGGUGGCAUUUGGAAGGGGAUAAUGAUAAUAAGCAUCCUACAAUGAUAUGGCUAGGAGAUUAAGUGAUAUAAAUGAAAAGUGUGUUGAAGCUGUAUUACUGAGGGCCUUGAGGUCAGAUUGAAAUGUUUGCUUAGGUAGAUAGAUGCCUGGAAGAGAGCCAUAGGAGGAAGGAUGCUAUAAGGGAAGAAACAAAGGAUGUAGACGUCGGAAGACCUGGGUUUAGAUCUAACACUUUAAAACAUGAAUAUUAAAAAUUGGAAAAUGAUUUCUCAAGUCCGACUCUUAUAGAGUCUGUCUUACUGCAAUAUCAUUCUAUAGAGUCUGUGGAUGAACUUAGUGAAGUUAGGCAGGGCUGAGGAACAGUGAGUAGGUCAUUUAAUGCAGAGGUUCUUAACCAUGAGUAGAAUUCAAGGGUUGGUGAACUUGGUUGUGAAAAAAAUACAUCUCUAUUUUCACUCACACCUAACUAAAACUUAGUAUUUCCUUCCACUAAGAAUGUAGGCAGCAAACUAUGGUAGUUCAGCCACUCCUAGGACUUUGUCACUAAUAGAAGUCAUAAAUUCUUUCAUAUCAUAGUUAAUGCACUUAUCUUGAAAUAUUUACAUUGCUUUGAAAUUGUAGUAGGACUUGCUGCUAGGGUUUAUUAGUGUGUUGAUAAAGAAGCAUGUGUAUUACUAUAUAUCACAAAUUUAAGAAUAUUUUAAUAACUAUUCCCCUUUGUAACCAUGUGCAUUUCAUUUACAUUUACAAAUAUUUUAUUGAAAACGGGUCCCUAGACUUAACAGACUUUAAAACCAAAGGAUUUUUUUUUUUUCUGCUUUUCAGGGCCACAGCUGCAGCAUUUGGAAGUUUCCAGGCUAAGGGUCAAAUUGGAGCUCAUGGCAACACCAGAUACCUAACCCACUGAGCGAGGCCGGGGAUCAAACCCACAUCCUUGUGGAUACUAGUCGGGUUUGUUACCACUGAGGCACAAUAGGAACUCCCAGACUACCAAAGGAUUUAAAAUCAGGAGGAGAGGGUAUAGAACAUGACAGAACCAGCUCCUGGAAGCAGAAAUGCAAAGCCCCCCCCCCCCCCCGCCCCACCAGAUGGAAAGAGGAAUCUCCACUGGUUGAGUGUAGAUGGGAAUUAGUAUCGUCAGGAAAAAGAAAAGUUUGAGUCAAUGAGAAGAGAUAGGGGAUUAAUAUAAAGUGCAACGUUGAUAACAGUGGCAGCAACUGCCAUGGGGGGUGGAACUUUAAUAUUUUAUGAAAAUGUGUUUCAGUUAAUUGAUACAAAAAAUCGUGGGAAAUAAUUAUUUUUUAUCAUCUUUGGAGUUCCCGUCGUGGCGCAGUGGUUAACGAAUCUGACUAGGAACAUGAGGUUGCAGGUUUGAUCCCUGGCCUUGCUCAGUGGGUUAAGGAUCCAGCAUUGCCAUGAGCCGCAGACGUGGCUCGGAUCCUGUGUUGCUGUGGCUCUGGCAUAGGCCAGCGGCUGUGGUCCAAUGCGACCCCUAGCCUGGGAACCUCCAUAUGCCGUGGGAAUGGCCCAAGAAAUG